rnacentral:misc_RNA from 1 species
UAGAAACAUGAUAGGUGCUCGUCUUGAUGCAGUUUCAGAGAUUGCAGAAUCUAUGCAAACUCAUCGAACUUCUCAUACUUCUGUCUUGGAGAUGGAAGGUGCUGAUGUCACCAGUUCGCAACCGGAGAUACAUCAUAUAAUUGUUUCAGUUCUGUCCACUAUAGGAAGGCCACCAGAUAUCCAGCGGGGGCUUACAAGAAUCUUUCAUAGAAAAGCUACUGCUGCUGAGUUUAUUGCAGUCAUUCAAGCUAUCUUGAUUGCUGCGAAACAACUUCAGCGGCUUUUCAUUACGGAGGACAGAAGUACUAAUCUGCAAAGAGAGACCUUGCAUUCUGUCCUGUUGAGAAAGCUGAUAUCAAUUGCCUCAUCUUCUACUGUUAUUAAUGGUGCUGCUAAGCUUUUGUCUGCUUUAAACAAG